rnacentral:lncRNA from 1 species
UAAGUUUGAGUUUCAAUAACCUAAGUAAACUUUGCGGAAUUGUUGUCAGUGUAAACCGGUAAGGGACAUGCUAGACUAGUCUUUUUUCAUAUGUUAUGUUGCUACAAUGUCCCAAAUGCAAUAAUUAAAUAUUGUUGCUAAGCCGGGUACUUUCACAAUAUUUAGGAUAGGUUCUUAUAGAAAUAAGAUGUAGGCUUUUAUUUCACGCAGUUAUAGAAGCACUACGGAUACCGCACUAAUCCAUAUUGUUGACGUUUUUGUUUUGAAUAACAUCGGAAGUUAAUCAGCGAUAUCAUACGUUUCAGAUGAGUUUACCUGUAAUUCAGGUACAUUUCCGCCUCAUGCGCGUUCUGCCACAGUCAAAACAACUAGGAACUCCGAGAUCCGACCUCAAGACCAUUGACGUCAUGAUUUGACAUCGUUUUUUCCGGGUUCCCAGUUGUUUUGAAAACACAAUUGAUACAGGAAAAUGACCAGGGAAAAGUUUGAAGAACAACCCAACCUAAACCAAAAGAACACUAACACUCACCUUUUUAAAGAAUGACCAAUAUCUCCAGCAGUAGGUAAAUCCAAGUUUGAGCAAUGGUCGGCUUCCGCACCUGAAAUAUUGGAUUAGUGAUGUUUUCAGAGCUGCGAGGUCAAACCCCGCCUCUGGAGCACUGUAUUUACUGCAACCGACUGUGCUGUACUCUACUGAGACACGUUUGCAUAGGAAGCAAUCCCAACUGCCUGCGAGUGAAGGGAGGAGUUUCACGGUACUUUUCACCGUCAAUCAAGCAGAAGAUUCCUGCAACAAAAGAGAAUCAUGAAUGGAAAAAGGCAGUUGAAAGGUGUGAAGUUAGAAUGAGUGUUGAGGGGG